rnacentral:rRNA from 1 species
GGGGUCUUAAGUCAAUGGAAUCCCGGGCUACCUGGGAAUCCAUUGAACUGCAGGUUGAUCUUUAAGGGGGUGAUUCCAGGGUACCGGGAAUGGGUAGAAUGGAGGAACCCGGGGGAGGGGGCCCCUGACAAAACUGCCUUCAGGUGGAAAGCGGGGGACAACCAGGUUAGAACCUUGGAUUCCACCGGAAAGGAUUCGACUGCAGGUGUUCCCUAAGUAGUAGUUCCGAAGUAACCCGUAAAGUGGCCCCUGGGGAGACGCCCGCAAGGUAAAAUUCAAAUAAUGACGGGGCCCGCCCAACCGGGGACCAUUGGUUAUUUCGAUGCAACGCGAAGACCCUUACAUACUCUGGACAUCCAUGGAAUUUCGCAGAGAUGCUUUGGUCCCUUCGGGACCCUUGAGCCAGGUGCUCCAUGGCGGUCGCCAGCUCGGGUUGGGAAAUGUUGGGUUAAGUCCCGCAACGAGCGCAACCUUGUCCCUAGGUUGCCACAGAUUCGGUCGGGAACUCAAAGGAGACUGCCGGUGACAAACCGGAGGAAGGUGGGGAUGACGUCAAGUCAUCAUGGCCCUUACGACUAGGGCUACACACGUGCUACAAUGGCGCAUACAAAGAGAAGCCACCUCGCGAGAGCGAGCGGACCUCACAAAACGCGUCGUAGUCCGGAUCGCAGUCUGCAACUCGACUCCGUGAAGUCGGAAUCGCUAGUAAUCGUGGAUCAGAAUGCCACGGUGAAUACGUUCCCGGGCCUUGUACACACCGCCCGUCACACCAUGGGGAAGUGGGGUUGCACACAAGAAGUAAGGCGUAGUCUUAACCUUCGGGAGACGCUAACCACGGUGGAUCAGGUGU